UAGCAUAUCAAUAAGCGGAGGAAAAGAAACUAACAAGGAUUCCCCUAGUAACGGCGAGUGAAGCGGGAAGAGCUCAAAUUUGAAAUCUGAUGGCCUCAGGCUAUCCGAGUUGUAAUCUAUAGAAACAUUUUCCGCGUUGGCCCAUGUACAAGUCUCUUGGAAUAGAGCGUCAUAGAGGGUGAGAAUCCCGUCCUUGACAUGGACUACCAGUGCUUUGUGAUAUGUUUUCAACGAGUCGAGUUGUUUGGGAAUGCAGCUCAAAAUGGGUGGUAAAUUCCAUCUAAAGCUAAAUAUUGGCGAGAGACCGAUAGCGAACAAGUACCGUGAGGGAAAGAUGAAAAGCACUUUGGAAAGAGAGUUAAACAGUAUGUGAAAUUGUUGAAAGGGAAACGAUUGAAGUCAGUCGUGUCUAUUGGACUCAGCCGGUUCUGCCGGUGUACUUCCUUUAGACGGGGUCAACAUCAGUUUUGAUCGCUGGAAAAGGGCAGGAGGAAUGUAGCACUCUCGGGUGAACUUAUAGCCUCUUGUCGUAUACAGUGGUUGGGACUGAGGAACGCAGCUUGCCUUUAUGGCCGGGAUUUAUCCACGUACAAGCUUAGGAUGUUGACAUAAUGGCUUUAAACGACCCGUCUUGAAACACGGACCAAGGAGUCUAACAUAUCUGCGAGUAUUUG
rnacentral:rRNA from 1 species